UCGCGGCUUAUCACCGGCAGUCCCCUUAGAGUGCCCAACUAAAUGAUGGCAACUAAGGGCAAGGGUUGCGCUCGUUGCGGGACUUAACCCAACACCUCACGGCACGAGCUGACGACAGCCAUGCAGCACCUGAACCGGCAGUCCCCGAAGGGAAAAUCCUAUUUCUAGGACGGUCCGCCGUUGUCUAGCCCAGGUAAGGUUCUUCGCGUUGCGUCGAAUUGAAUCCACAUCAUCCACCGCUUGUGCGGGUCCCCGUCAAUUCCUUUGAGUUUUAAUCUUGCGACCGUAAUCCCCAGGCAGGGCACUUAAUGCGUUAGCUACGGCACGGGCGGGAUUAAUACCGCCCACACCUAGUGCCCAUCGUUUAGGGCGUGGACUAC
rnacentral:misc_RNA from 1 species